AACGGCCAUACCAUGCUGAAUAUACCGGUUCUCGUUAGAUCACCGAAGUCAAGCAUCAUUGGGAUCGGUCAGUACUUGGGUGGGUGGCCACCUGGGAACACCGCGUGCUGUU